GUUGUUUUAUCUCUUCUUGAGCAAGUGGCUAUUUUUUUGUUUAUGUUUGCAUAUGAUUAGUAUUGUAUAAUUUAUACUUUAUUUUGCAGAUGGAAUUAAAUUAUACUGGAGAGAAAGGUCAAAGGUUGUUUGGUUGCUUGAGUUUUUGUUAUGUGUAUUUGUGCUUAUUUGACAUUGAGUUUUGUUUAUGUCCCAUUGAACCAACGACUAAAUAAAAUUGUGCUUAUUUACCAAUAUGCAAUGGCUGGCCGUGUAACACUGAAACGAUGUUGUCAUAUCAUUGUUUGACUGGUAGUUAUGGUGAAUAUUCGUUAAGGUUUGCAACAAAUUUGAUGAUAUUAACUGAUAAUUUUUUUUUUUUUUUUCGUUUGGUAGGUCCUUUGGCGAACAAUCCAGUGACUGAUUUUGAAAAGGCUGUCAAUAAGUUGCGACGAAA
rnacentral:lncRNA from 1 species